rnacentral:tRNA from 1 species
AAGGACUUAGGCUAACAUAAGACCAAGGGCCUUCAAAGCCCUAAGUAGGGGUGGAAAUCCCCUAGUCCUUG